UCUUUAGACUUGUGCAAUAUCGUCCGAAGCAGCGCUUCAGGGUGGGAACACAGCAGAGCACUUUUGGUGUAUAUGUGCCGCAAGUAUCUGAGGAAGA
rnacentral:SRP_RNA from 1 species